rnacentral:rRNA from 1 species
AUUGAACGCUGGCGGCAUGCCUUACACAUGCAAGUCGAACGGCAGCACGGGAGCAAUCCUGGUGGCGAGUGGCGAACGGGUGAGUAAUAUAUCGGAACGUGCCCGGUCGUGGGGAUAACGUAGCGAAAGCUACGCUAAUACCGCAUACGAUCUACGGAUGAAAGCGGGGGAUCGCAAGACCUCGCGCGAUUGGAGCGGCCGAUAUCAGAUUAGGUAGUUGGUGAGGUAAAGGCUCACCAAGCCGACGAUCUGUAGCUGGUCUGAGAGGACGACCAGCCACACUGGGACUGAGACACGGCCCAGACUCCUACGGGAGGCAGCAGUGGGGGAAUUUUGGACAAUGGGCGCAAGCCUGAUCCAGCAAUGCCGCGUGCAGGAUGAAGGCCUCGG